rnacentral:rRNA from 1 species
AGGCAGCAGUGAGGAAUAUUGCGCAAUGGGGGCAACCCUGACGCAGCAACGCCGCGUGAGUGAGGAAGGUUUUCGGACCGUAAAGCUCUGUCGAGCGGGAAGAAAUGUAUCGUGGCUAAUAUCCAUGAUAUUUGACGGUACCGCUAAAGGAAGCACCGGCUAACUCCGUGCCAGCAGCCGCGGUAAUACGGGGGGUGCAAGCGUUGUUCGGAAUUAUUGGGCGUAAAGAGCGUGUAGGCGGCUGAAUAAGUCAGAUGUGAAAUCCCUGGGCUUAACCCAGGAAGUGCAUUUGAAACUAUUCAGCUUGAGUAGGGGAGAGGAAAGUGGAAUUCCUGGUGUAGAGGUGAAAUUCGUAGAUAUCAGGAGGAACACCGGUGGCGAAGGCGACUUUCUGGCCCUAUACUGACGCUGAGACGCGAGAGCGUGGGUAGCAAACAGGAUUAGAUACCCUGGUAGUCCACGCUGUAAACGAUGUUCACUAGGUGUUGGGGGUAUUGACCCUCUCAGUGCCGCAGCUAACGCA